UUUACAGUCAUUUCGAACUCAUCUCAUCCCUCGUGCUUACCGUGCCCUUACCAUUCUUGUGUCGUUGCCGGUAAUCGAGGUGGAUGGUCGCCUAAUGGUCAGUAACAAGAAAUGUGUUGUACCUGGUUGCACAAGAAAUUCCAAACUUGGGGGACAUAAACUUUCUUUCUAUUCACUUCCGAAGGAUCAUUCAAGAUUUGACGAGUGGAGUGUGAUACUGAAUUUGGAUAAAGAAAAUAUCUCCCUGAGCUCAAAAGUUUGUAGCAACCAUUUCGACCCAAGACAUACGAAAACUGUUAUUUACCAAAGUCAACUUUUCCGAUUCCCCAGUCUAUAUCUAACCUUGACGGAAGAAGCUCGAGUUAUCUGGUCGCAACAA